ACCAGCUCUGGUAUUGAUUUGUCUACAGCCGAAGUUAGAAUUAAGAGGCCUACAGGAAACUGGGUCUUGGAAAUUGGUAUCAAAUGGGAGAUUGAGUAGCACAUCCAUUUCUUUUAGAAAAUUGGAAGGUCUGGCAAAACUGGGACCAUACUGACCAUUGGCAAGAGUUAGCUGAAGCAAGGACCUUUUAAAGAUGAGUGAACACACAUUGGAAAGAGGACAGCAGCGGAAACUUCCUGAAUGGAUGUCUAUGCAGAAGAGCUAUACAGUAAAAGAAGAAAAGGCAUCUGUUCAGAAGAGUGUUUUGGAAGAUCACCUGCCCUUCUUAGAAUUCACUGGAUCCAUUGUGUACAGUUAUGAAGCUAAUGAUUGUUCUUUGCUCUCAGAAGAUAUUAGCAUGAGCCUCUCUGAUGGAGAUGUGGUAGGAUUUGACAUCGAGUGGCCACCAGUGUACAAGAAAGGGACACUGGGCAGAGUGGCCCUCAUUCAGCUGUGUGUGUCAGAGAGCAAGUGCUACUUGUUUCAUAUUUCUUCUAUGUUAGUUUUCCCUCAGGGACUAAAAAUGUUGCUUGAAAAUGAAGCAAUUAAAAAGGCAGGUGUGGGAAUUGAACAAGAUCAGUGGAAACUUCUACGUGACUUUGAUGUCAAGUUGAAGAGUAUUGUGGAGCUGACAGAUGUUGCCAAUGAAAAGCUGAAAUGUAUAGAGACCUGGAGCCUCAAUGGUUUGGUUAAAUACCUCUUUGGUAAACAGCUUCUGAAAGACCGGUCUGUCCGCUGUAGCAACUGGAGUAAGUUUCCCCUCACUGAGGACCAGAAAGUGUAUGCAGCCACUGAUGCUUAUGCUGGUUUCAUCAUUUAUCAAAAAUUAGCAAAUUUGAGGGAUCCUGUACAAAUAUUUGUCAAGAAUAAAGAGGAGGAAAUACUACCUAGUGAUGUGAAGAAACAAUUGACUUCCAUCUCCAAGGAGAUAAUGGAUUUGGCUGAGUCUCUUCCUGAUACUUUUGGAAAACUGGAAAAUCCACAGAGGGUUUCCCUGCUGUUGAAGGAUAUUUCAGAAAAUCUGUAUUCAUUGAGGAUGAUGAUGUUUGGCUCUACUGAGAAGGAACUGAGACCCAGCAGUGAUUUUCACUUGUUACCACUGGAGGAGCCAACUGCUGGAGAAGCACAAGAGAAACAAAUUAGAGCACAUAACAUUUUUCCUGAAGUUCAAGAUGAGGCAUGGGAUGCCACACCUGAUGAUUUAAUUGAACAAGAUGGAGAACAGGCACUUGGAAAUCAAAUGAAACAAGAAGAUGGAUUGGAAGAUGCACUGGAAGGCAAUAACUUGAAAGAGAAUACAGAAAGAAAUUGUUUCAUGUCAUUAGAUAUUACAGAAGAGGAACUCCAACUUUUGGAACAACAGGCUCAGGAAAAGGAUCUUAUUGAUGUUACUAGCACAUCUCCUGAGCAUUCAUCUUCCAAGGAUAAUGAAGAGGAUCUAUCUUACAUAAUUGAGAGUGAUGAAGAUUUAGAAAUGGAGAUGCUUAAGUCUUUAGAAAACCUCAAAAGUGGCAUGGUAGAUCCAAAUCAUUCAGAAUGCAUAGAAAUGGAAAAAAAUCUGGAUCUUCCUUCCGAAGAAGAUGAUGAAGAUGAGAACGAAGCUAUUGAAGAGGAAAAAGAAGUUGAGGAAGACUAUCUGUUUCCAAGACCUACUGAAAAGCAAAUUAACUGCCUCAAGACCUACUUUGGCCAUUCUAGUUUUAAGCCGGUUCAGUGGAAAGUGAUUCAUUCUGUACUGGAAGAAAGAAAAGAUAAUGUUGUUGUCAUGGCAACUGGGUAUGGAAAGAGUCUAUGCUUCCAGUAUCCACCUGUUUAUGUAGGUGGGAUUGGCCUUGUCAUCUCUCCCCUUAUUUCUUUGAUGGAAGACCAAGUACUUCAGCUUGAAAUAUCCAGUAUUCCAGCUUGUUUUCUUGGAUCAGCGCAGUCAAAAAAUGUUGUAGAGGAUAUUAAAUUAGGCAAAUACCGGAUUGUAUACCUAACUCCAGAAUUCUGUUCAGGUAACUUGAACCUGCUUCAGCAGCUUGAGGCUAAUAUUGGUAUCACACUUAUUGCUGUGGAUGAGGCUCACUGUAUUUCUGAGUGGGGACAUGAUUUUAGAAGUUCAUUCAGGGCUUUGUGUUCCCUAAAGGCAGUACUCCCACAGGUUCCAAUUGUUGCAGUGACUGCUACGGCAGGUUCUUCGGUCCGAGAAGACAUUGUACGUUGCUUAAAACUGAAGGAUCCUCAGGUAACCUGUACUGGUUUUGAUCGACCAAACUUGUAUUUAGAAGUUGGACGAAAAACAGGAAGCAUCCUGGAGGAUCUGAAGCAGUUUCUCGUCUGUAAGUCAAGUUCUGCUUGGGAAUUUGAAGGUCCAACUAUCAUCUAUUGUCCUUCCAGGAAAAUGACAGAGCAAGUUACAGCUGAACUUAAAAAACUGAAUUUAGCCUGUGGAACAUACCAUGCGGGACUGAGUAUUAACUUAAGGAAACAAGUUCAUCAUAGGUUCAUGAGAGAUGAAAUUCAGUGUGUCAUAGCUACCGUAGCUUUUGGAAUGGGCAUUAAUAAAGCUGACAUUCGCCAAGUCAUUCAUUAUGGUGCUCCUAAGGAAAUGGAAUCCUAUUACCAGGAGAUUGGUAGAGCUGGCCGAGAUGGACUUCAAAGUUCUUGUCAUGUUCUCUGGGCUCCAGCAGACAUGAACCUAAAUAGGCACCUCCUUGGUGAAAUACGCAAUAAAGAGUUUCAAUUAUACAAAUUAAAGAUGUUGGCGAAGAUGGAAAAAUAUCUUUAUUCCAGCAAGUGUAGGCGACAAAUCAUCUUGUCUCAUUUUGAAGAUAAACAACUACGAAAGGCCUCCGUAGGAAUUAUGGGAACUGAAAACUGCUGUGAUAAUUGCAAGUCCAGAUUGGAUCACUGCUUUUCCCUUGAAGACUCAGAUGAUACGUUACAGGACUUUGGUCCGCAAGCAUUCCAGCUCUUAUCUGCUGUGACCAUCUUAGGAGGAAGGUUUGGCAUUGGGAUUCCAAUUUUGUUUCUCCGAGGCUCUAAUUCCCAGCGUCUUGAAGAUAGAUACCGCAGUCACAGUGUCUUUGGUACGGGCAAGGACCACACAGAGAAUUGGUGGAAGGCUCUUUCCCAUCAACUCAUCAUUGAGGGAUUCUUGGCAGAAGUUCCUGGGCAUAGAAAAUACGUAAAGAUUUGCACCCUUACAGAAAAGGGUAGAAACUGGUUUGCUAAAGCCAAAACAGAAUCUCCUCAGAGGCUUUUACUUCAAGCCAAUGAACAGUUGUGUCCAAGGACAUUUCUACCAAGUUCUAAAGCUGUGUCUUCAGGCACUGAGGAACAUGUCUCUGAUCAAGUACCAGUUGAAUUAACUUCAGAGAAGUUUAACUUGGAUCAGAUGUAUUCUUACAAAGCACAUGAUAAAAUUUCUUCUGGGAGAAACAGUCCUAAAAACAGCACCAUAGUGUCAUCACCAGGAAAAUAUUACAAGUCCUCAGAACCUGUUACUUCCACUCAAGAGCAGGAGACUCAGACUGCAUUAUAUGGCGAAUUGGUAGCAGCUAGGCAGAAACAUGCCAAUACAAUGGAUGUUCCUCCGGCUAUUCUGGCAACAAAUAAAAUAUUGGUGGAUAUGGCCAAAAUCAGACCUACUACAGUUGAAAAUGUGAAAAGGAUUGAUGGUGUUUCUGAAGGCAAAGCUGUGAUGUUGGCCCCUCUGUUGGAAGUCAUCAGACGUUUCUGUCAAAUAAAUAGUGUUCAGACAGACCUCUUUUCAAGCACAGAACUACAGGAAGAACAGAGGAAAAGUUUGGUCCUGGAAAAUAAAGCAAACUCACUUUCACCAUCUGUGGCUGUCACGUAUUCUUUUUUCCAAGAAAAGAAAAUGUCUUUGGAAGAUACAGCUGAGAAGAGGACUCUGCCUCUCACAACAGUUGGCAUGCACUUAUCCCAAGCGAUGAAAGCUGGCUACCCGGUUGAUACGGAGCGCGCAGGCCUGACUCCAGAGAUUCGAAAGGUUAUUGCUGAUGUUAUCCGAAACCCUCCCAUCAACUCAGAUACAAAUAAAAUUAACCUAAUUAGAAUAUAUGUUCCUGAAAACAUUGACAUGUACCUUAUCCACAUGGCAAUCAAGAUCCUGGAAAAAGAUGGUGACCACAGAAUGCGAUGCCACUCUUCAUGUGAUCCCAUCAAAAAGCGAUGUUUCCCCAACCCUGAAGAGAGCUCUUCAAAUUCUAAGAGAAGCAAGGAAGAAGUAGACACCAAGACCAAGACUUCGUCUGAAACCUCCAAGAGAAAAUUACCUGGGUGGUUUGCCAGAGGAAAUGAGAUCUUACCUGAUAGCAGCAAGAAAUCAGUGGCCAAAACCAAAACGAAGGGUCUUUUUAGUUAAACUGGCAGCUGUCAGAGGAGUUAUGUGUCCUGCUGUAUUAUGAGAAGGAAGCUGUAUAUCAUUUCUGAAAAGAGUAGGCAGUGUUUGUUUAAAAAUUAUUCUAAUUUUGAAGUAAAACUCACCUAUUUAUUGAACAGCUGGCAUUUUAAAACAGCCUUGGGCAAGCCACGUAAAGUUGAGUCUUCUGAGAGUCUGAGUGAGUACGUCCU
rnacentral:lncRNA from 1 species